GCUCCAUACGAUACUCGGAGUAUCCCGUUGUUAAGUGCAGCGCAUAUCUCCAAUUUACUUUAUUUCCGAGCCUCAUGAUUGAUCUGGAAACAAGUUUCUUCCAACCUUAAGAACUUUCCCGCAUUCUUCGAGCCAUAAAUGUCGCAUUUGUGAAGAGGAUCAAAGAAUUUCUCGGAUCUUGAUGACGGCGGCACGACGCCCAUGUAUCGACGAUGCAAACUCCACCAGAAUGUAUUGUACUUCGAUGGUU